rnacentral:lncRNA from 1 species
AUUAAUAGUACCGACCAAAAAAUUUUGACCGACUUCGAUCGGAAAUUUCUAAUUAACAACAGCCGAAGCGGAGUUCUUCCCCAUUUUUCUCUUUACUCUUUCUCUCUUCCUUCUUCCACAUCUGAAAAUCCUACCCUAAUUAACUUCACCACUCUCUUCUCACCCAAAAUCAAAUCCCCCACUUUGUCUCUCCCGCGCCACCACUAUUUUUCCGCUGCCAUUGCACCUCCGCCAUAGAAGGCCGCCCCACAACUGCUCCAAAAUCAUACUCCUCUCUCUCUCUUUCAAGGUUAGUUAUCUAUAUUUGUUAAUUUUAAUUAUUUAAGUUCUUUCAAUUGUAUAAAUUAGGAUUUACAAUUUUGGAUUUUGGGAUUAUUUCAAUUGUAUGAUUACAUGGUCAUGAUUUUUGGAGUAGUACUAUAUGAAAGUCAAAAAAUUUAUUAGAUUCUUUCUUACAUAUUUUCAAUGAGUUUAAUUUUUAUAUUCUAACAAUGUGAAAGAAAUUACAAUUCAAUGUCACUUUAAAUAUAAUUCAAAAAGGUAACUUCACAUAAUCAGUGAAGUUGCUAAUGUUAAGUAAUGUUUUUUAUUAGUGUGUAUAUCGUAGUUGGAUGUAUAAU